AAAUAUAGUAUAGUUAAAAAUAAAUAUAGUUAAAAAUACAGCCAUAUUUAAUUCGAUUUAGUAGAAAGUAUCGUAACUAUAAAUAAUUUGUUUGGUUGAAUACGGUUGAGAAAUGUAUUUUUAGAAUUUUAUUAUUUUAUAUAUAUAACGGUGAGAUUACCUCCAAUGUGAAAAAAGGAAAUAAUUUUUGUUUAAAAAAUAUUGAAGAGGUAAGCAUACAUUUUAUUUAAAGUUACUCUCUCUAACUGCUAUAGUUGGAACUACGGCCAAUUUGGGCGUAGUUCGAAUUGUUGCAGUUGGGCCUCCUCCUGCAGUUCCUACUGCAGUAGUUGGAGUUAACUACAUCAUACCAAACACGAAAUUUGCAUUUACAUGUAGUUACAACUGCAGUGUAGUUGCAACUACAUGCAACCAAACGACCCCUUAUUGAAAAUAGAGAAUUGGAUUCCUUGACAAGUAAAC
rnacentral:lncRNA from 1 species